rnacentral:rRNA from 1 species
AGUGAACGCUGGCGGUAGGCCUAACACAUGCAAGUCGAACGGAAGCACAGUAAGAGCUUGCUCUUACGGGUGGCGAGUGGCGGACGGGUGAGGCAUACAUCGGAAUCUACUUUUUCGUGGGGGAUAACGUAGGGAAACUUACGCUAAUACCGCAUACGACCUACGGGUGAAAGCAGGGGAGCUUCGGACCUUGCGCGUUUGAAUGAGCCGAUGUCGGAUUAGCUAGUUGGCGGGGUAAAGGCCCACCAAGGCGACGAUCCGUAGCUGGUCUGAGAGGAUGAUCAGCCACACUGGAACUGAGACACGGUCCAGACUCCUACGGGAGGCAGCAGUGGGGAAUAUUGGACAAUGGGCGCAAGCCUGAUCCAGCCAUACCGCGUGGGUGAAGAAGGCCUUCGGGUUGUAAAGCCCUUUUGUUGGGAAAGAAAAGCAGCAGGUUAAUCCCCCGCUGUUCUGACGGUACCCAAAGAAUAAGCACCGGCUAACUUCGUG